GUUUCAUAAACGUCUGACUACUUUUGCAGUGUGAAUGCGUCAGUCAUGAGAUAAAUACACAUAUAAUAAUAAUAUCUAGAACAUUCAAAAUUGAUGAACUGUGAUUGUUAACAAAAGGUAUCAUCUAAACUUGACUUAUUAACACGAUAGAUAUACACUGAUAUUUAUUUUAGGUUAUUUUUUAUAUGUUUAACUCUUAAGUGUUUUUUUCCUAUCACAUUCUUAAAAGCUUUCGAAAAAUAUUUAUCAUUAACUAUGAAGGAAAUCGAGAGGAAAUGAGAUGGCGAAUAGACACGUGACUAAUAAUAUACAAAGCUCUUUAUUACAAUGAUGAGUCUAUGAAAGGUAUGAAGUUAUUAAAGACUUCAAUUAACAAUCAAACAGUUAAGACUAUUUAAGAUCUGCAUCGUCAAAAAUAGUUAUAUUAGUAUUUGAAACAUAUUACAAUACUAAUAUAUUAUAUUUUAUUAAUAAAAAUUAUGAACCAUCAAA
rnacentral:lncRNA from 1 species